rnacentral:rRNA from 1 species
AUCGAACGCUGGCGGCAGGCCUAACACAUGCAAGUCGAACGAGUGGCGGAGGGGUGAGCAAGGUCGGGGAAACUGCCUGACGGAGGGGGAUAACUACCGGAAACGGUAGCUAAUACCGCAUACCAUCGGAUGUGCCCAGAUGGGAUUAGCUAGUAGGUGGGGUAAAGGCUCACCUAGGCGACGAUCCCUAGCUGGUCUGAGAGGAGUACCAGCCACACUGGAACUGGAGCACGGGCCAAACUCCUACGGGAGGGAACAGUGGGGAAUAUUGCACAAUGGGCGCAAUGCUGAUGCAGCCAUGCCGAGUGUAUGAAGAAGGCCUUCGGGUUGUAAAGUACUUUCAGCGGGGAGGCGUUACCCAAAGAAGAAGCACCGGCUAACUCCGUGCCAACCGCCGCGGUAAUAC